rnacentral:rRNA from 1 species
CCUACGGGAGGCAGCAGUGGGGAAUAUUGCACAAUGGGGGAAACCCUGAUGCAGCAACGCCGCGUGAGUGAAGAAGUAUUUCGGUAUGUAAAGCUCUAUCAGCAGGGAAGAAGAUGACGGUACCUGACCAAGAAGCCCCGGCUAACUACGUGCCAGCAGCCGCGGUAAUACGUAGGGGGCAAGCGUUAUCCGGAUUUACUGGGUGUAAAGGGAGCGCAGACGGCAGUGCAAGUCUGGAGUGAAAGCCCGGGGCCCAACCCCGGAACUGCUCUGGAAACUGUGCGGCUAGAGUACUGGAGGGGCAGGCGGAAUUCCUAGUGUAGCGGUGAAAUGCGUAGAUAUUAGGAGGAACCCCAGUGGCGAAGGCGGCCUGCUGGACAGUAACUGACGUUGAGGCUCGAAAGCGUGGGUAGCAAACAGGAUUAGAUACCCUUGUAGUC